rnacentral:rRNA from 1 species
UACAGAGGUCUCAAGCGUUGUUCGGAUUCAUUGGGCGUAAAGGGUGCGUAGGCGGCGCGGUAAGUCGGGUGUGAAAUCUCGGAGCUUAACUCCGAAACUGCAUUCGAUACUGCCGUGCUUGAGGACUGGAGAGGAGACUGGAAUUUACGGUGUAGCGGUGAAAUGCGUAGAUAUCGUAAGGAAGACCAGUGGCGAAGGCGGCGAUCUGGGCAGAUACUGACGCUGAGGUGCGAAAGCGUGGGGAGCAAACAGG